CAUAUAGCAACAUCUCCCAGCGCAGACAGAACCCAAAGUCUUUUGUUUGACGCAGCUUUAUCUCCAUAGCACCUUCCCUUAAUCUAGUUUCCCUGGAAACCAUCGCUCCGGGGAAGAUCGGAAUGCGUUGAAGGCUUGAUGCCGAUCUUUUGAGCAUUCGAUCCGGCCAAACGACGAGACUUCAAGGGCCUUGACCAGCACCGGAGCACCUCCCUCGGCCUCAAGAAUUUCCAGCAAUUCUCAGUUCUCAUCGGCAGCAAUACCAGCGCG
rnacentral:misc_RNA from 1 species